rnacentral:lncRNA from 1 species
AAAUCCCUUAAUUUUCUUGCAUCCAAAACCAUCCAUUCCCAUCUAUCAUCUUCAACCAAUCACUCUUUCAUUAUUUUUGCAAGGAGAUUGAUCAGGCUCAAGGUUCAUGUGUGCACAAUGUUCUUGACAAGAUUCACACUUAUCGGAUGGAAUAUGAUCUUACAAUGUAAGUAUAAUCUCUAUAUACAUCUUUCUCUAUAUAUAAAAGAUUGAUUUCUUUGAAGUUUUGCAUAUCCUCAUCCAUUUUCUGUCAUAUGCUACCACAAUGGUCUCAAGGAAGAUUGACAUGUUUUGUAUGAUUACUAUCUCUAUCAUUUUGUUUUUCAUGUGUUAUUUUUGGACAAUAAUAAAUCUUUGUUAAGAUUUAAGACAAUAAUAAAUCUUAUUUUAUUAUUUUUGGACUUAAUUUGUCAACAAAAUUAAUUGGGAUUGUACACGAUUUCCAUAUGUUUGAAUGUUUUCCUCCUCUGUCAAUUUUAGUGACAUUUCUUUUGAAGAGUUGUUUUCUACCUUACCCCUUCAAUUGUUUGU